rnacentral:rRNA from 1 species
AACGAACGCUGGCGGCAUGCCUAACACAUGCAAGUCGAACGAGACCUUCGGGUCUAGUGGCGCACGGGUGCGUAACGCGUGGGAACCUGCCCUUAGGUUCGGAAUAACUCCCCGAAAGGGGUGCUAAUACCGGAUAAUGUCUUCGGACCAAAGAUUUAUCGCCUUUGGAUGGGCCCGCGUUGGAUUAGCUAGUUGGUAGGGUAAAAGCCUACCAAGGCGACGAUGCAUAGCUGGUCUGGGAGGAUGAUCAGCCACACUGGGACUGAGACACGGCCCAGACUCCUACGGGAGGCAGCAGUGGGGAAUAUUGGACAAGGGGCGAAAGCCUAAUCCAGCAGUGCGGCGUGAGUGAUGAAGGCCUUAGGGUUGUAAAGCUCUUUUAGACGGGAUGAUAAUGACAGUACCGGGAGAAUAAGCACCGGCUAACUCCGUG